UACGGAGGUGGCAAGCGUUGAUCGGAAUUACUGGGCGUAAAGGGCGCGUAGGCGGUUCGUUAAGUCCUGUGUGAAAUCCCCCGGCUCAACUGGGGAACUGCACAGGAAACUAGCGGGCUUGAGUUCGGGAGAGGGAAGCGGAAUUCCGGGUGUAGCGGUGAAAUGCGUAGAUAUCCGGAGGAACACCGGUGGCGAAGGCGGCUUCCUGGACCGACACUGACGCUGAGGCGCGAAAGCUAGGGGAGCAAACGGG
rnacentral:rRNA from 1 species